rnacentral:rRNA from 1 species
UGGGGAAUCUUGCCCAAUGGGCGAAAGCCUGAGGCAGCAACGCCGCGUGUGGGAUGACGGCCCUCGGGUUGUAAACCACUUUCAGCAGGGACGAAAUUGACGGUACCUGCAGAAGAAGCUCCGGCCAACUACGUGCCAGCAGCCGCGGUAAUACGUAGGGAGCGAGCGUUGUCCGGAUUUAUUGGGCGUAAAGCGCGCGUAGGCGGUUUGGUAAGCCGGGUGUGAAACCCCCAAGCUCAACUCGGAGCGGCCACUCGGAACUGCCAUGACUUGAGUCAGGUAGGGGAACACGGAAUUCCAGGUGUAGCGGUGAAAUGCUUAGAUAUCUGGAGGAACACCAGUGGCGAAGGCGGUGUUCUGGGCCUGUACUGACGCUGAUGCGCGAAAGCGUGGGGAGCGAACAGGAUUAGAUACCCCCGUAGUCC